GUACACGCUGUGACUAGCAUAUCAAUAAGCGGAGGAAAAGAAACUAACAAGGAUUCCCCUAGUAACGGCGAGUGAAGCGGGAAGAGCUCAAAUUUGAAAUCUUAAAGGGUUUCCCUUUACGAAUUGUAGUUUAAAGAAGUGUUUUCUGUUGAGGUUUUGGUAAAAGUUCUUUGGAAUAGGACAUCAUAGAGGGUGAGAAUCCCGUAUUUGACCUUCACUUUCAACUUUGUGAUACACUUUCAAAGAGUCGGAUUGUUUGGGAAUGCAGUCCAAAAUGGGUGGUAAAUUUCAUCUAAAGCUAAAUAUUGGCGAGAGACCGAUAGCGAACAAGUACCGUGAGGGAAAGAUGAAAAGAACUUUGAAAAGAGAGUUAAACAGUACGUGAAAUUGUCAAAAGGGAAGCGUUUGACACCAGUGUUGUUUUUCUGAAAAUCAAUUAAAGAACUGUUUAUGCUAAGUUGUUUAGACUUUAUCAGCUAUCUGUUUAGUUUUAGGCUUUUCUUUAAUGCACUUUUCAGUUAACAAGUCAACAUCAAUUUCUUUUGCUGUAAAAAAGCUUGAGGAAGGUGGCUUGAGAUUCGUCUUAAGUGUUUAUAGCCUCUUGCCUAUGCAGUCGGAGAGAUUGAGGUCUGCAGCGUAGAUCCUUCGGGGCUAAAUGCAUUUGUGCUAAGUUAUAGCAUUUUAUAGACAGCUUGUUGACUAUGAUUUGUCUUGUAGCUUACUCGCUUAUGUUAUUUUACCUACGCUUAGGAUGUUGAUAUGCAUGACUGAUAU
rnacentral:rRNA from 1 species